UACGAAGGGAGCUAGCGUUACUCGGAAUCAUUGGGCGUAAAGCGUGCGUAGGCGGUCUUGUAAGUUAGAAGUGAAAUCCUGGGGCUCAACCCUAGAACUGCUUUUAAUACUGCUAGACUAGAAUACUUGAGGGGACAGUAGAAUUCCUAGUGUAGGGGUGAAAUCCGUAGAUAUUGGGAAGAACACCGGUGGCGAAGGCGGCGACCUGGUCCUUUUACUGACGCUGAGGCGCGAAAGCGUGGGGAGCAAACAGG
rnacentral:rRNA from 1 species